rnacentral:pre_miRNA from 1 species
AUACAUAUCACCCAGGGAUAUUGUUAAAAUGUAGAUUCUGACUCAGUAAGUCUGUGGCAGGGCUUGAGAUUCUGCGUGUCUAACAAGCUCCCAGGUGAUGCUGGU